GACGAACGCUGGCGGCGUGCCUAACACAUGCAAGUCGAGCGGAGACAGCAAGUAGCAAUACGAACUGUUUUAGCGGCGGACGGGUGAGUAACGGGUGACCAACCGGUCCCAAACAGGGGGAUAACGAACCGAAAGCUUCACUAAUACCGCAUAAGACCACAGAGUCACAUGGCUCAGGGAUCAAAGGAGAAAUCCGGAUUGGGGUGGGCUCGCGUCUGAUUAGCUAGUUGGUGGGGUAACGGCCUACCAAGGCGAAGAUCAGUAGCCGACCUGAGAGGGUGAUAGGCCCCAUUGGAACUGAGACACGGUACAAACUACUACGGGAGGCAGCAGUGGGGAAUAUUGGGCAAUGGGCGAAAGCCUGGCCCAGCAACGCCGCGUGGAGGAAGAAGGUUUUCGGAUCGUAAACUUCUAUCCUUGGUGAAGAUAAUGACGGUAGCCAGGAAGGAAGCCCCGGCUAACUACGUGCCAGCAGCCGCGGUACAAC
rnacentral:rRNA from 1 species